rnacentral:rRNA from 1 species
GACGAACGCUGGCGGCGUGCUUAACACAUGCAAGUCGAACGGAAAGGCCCUGCUUUUGUGGGGUGCUCGAGUGGCGAACGGGUGAGUAACACGUGAGUAACCUGCCCUUGACUUUGGGAUAACUUCAGGAAACUGGGGCUAAUACCGGAUAGGAGCUCCUGCUGCAUGGUGGGGGUUGGAAAGUUUCGGCGGUUGGGGAUGGACUCGCGGCUUAUCAGCUUGUUGGUGGGGUAGUGUCUUACCAAGGCUUUGCCGGGUAGCCGGCCUGAGAGGGUGCCCGGCCACAUUGGGACUGAGAUACGGCCCAGACUCCUACGGGAGGCAGCAGUGGGGAAUAUUGCACAAUGGGCGGAAGCCUGAUGCAGCAACGCCGCGUGCGGGAUGACGGCCUUCGGGUUGUAAACCGCUUUCGCCUGUGACGAAGCGUGAGUGACGGUAAUGGGUAAAGAAGCACCGGCUAACUACGUG